CCACCAGGGAUUCUAAGUUUUCGGUUUGAUACAAUGCAGAAGAUUGCCCAUCGGAGCCCUUGCGGCGCACACAGAAGAUUCUGUGGGGAGGCGGGGACACGAAGGAUCUUGGGCAGCAUACCCUUGGCGAAACCCAUCGAGUACUUGGGGUAACAGAGUCUUUAAAGAUGCUGCUGUUAAGUCUUGGGUACAGGAGUCUUCUGGGACGGGCACAGCAAGCAUACUGGGUAAUGUAGUCUUUGAUAAUAGGAACAGAUCUUGAGAUUUUGGGCAUCAUAGCUAGGCCGCCACAGGGAGGCUUUGGGUUAUUGUAGUUAUGGGGGAGAACCCUGCGGAUUCGAGGUAUGGUAGUCAUUGCUCAGCCUCUUGAGGAGAGCCCUGCAGUCAGCCAUGCUUUAUGUCCAGCAGAGGGCCUUCUACAGGGGUCAGCACAGAGCGCUGCUUCAUCUCUCUCCACAGCAGUCUUUCCCAGGCUUCACCAACCCCAGGCCUCACCUUCCUGCCAAGCUCAUGCUAGGCCUCACCUUCCAGCAAGCCCGCUCCAGUCUCACCAAUUCCAGGCAUCACCUUCCCGCCAAGCCUUCCUAGGUAUCCUUCAUGCUGAGCAGCAGGAGUGUGAGGUGCAGCAAGUAAGGAGGGGUCUGGAUGUGUGGAGAGGGGCUAGCACGGACAGGGAGGCUGGUGGGAAAAGGGCAGCCCACAAUUAGGAGCCAGGAUUAGGUUACGGUUAGCAUGGGUG
rnacentral:lncRNA from 1 species